CCUAUUAAUAUAUAUCUUUGCAUUGAAAAAUGCAGGGUAGGUGGUGACACUCCACUUAAUAUAUUUUUUAGGAGUAAUUAACAAUAAGUAAUAUUAUAUCAAAAUAUAGUGUGAAUGAGGUAGUAAUAUUUAUCUAAUUCAUUAUAAAUUCAAUUCCGAUAGUAAAGAAGUACCGUUAGGGAAAAGUGAAAAGUUAGCUUUAAAGCUGUUUAAAAGAUUCAAAAUUAUAUAUUCAGAGGAUCACUUAUAAUUGUAUAGUAUGUAGAAAUUAUGUGAGUAAUUAAUCUAAAGUAACUAUGUAAGAAUUUGAGGUGAUGCCCGUCUUGAAACACGGACCGAGGAGUCAUUUUUUCUUGCAUUAUGAAAAUUUAAUAUUGUUUAAUAUCGCAAGCAAAAAGAAAUGGACCCGAAAGGUGGUGAACUAUUCCUGAAAGGGUUUAAGCUAGAAGAAAUUCUAGCAGAAGACCUAUGUGAUACUGACGUGCAAUUCGUUCAUUUUAUUUUGGAAUAGGGGCGAAAGACUAAUCGAACCACCUAGUAGCUGGUUCCUCCCGAAGUUUCUCCUAGGAUAGCGGAGAUGUUAUAAACCGUGUAAAUUAAAGCAAUGUUUUGAGGAUACGGGGACUUAAGUUCUUGGCCUAGUCACAAACUAUUAAUGUACACAUAUGUUUGUAUUAUAUACAAAUUCAAAAGGUUAACAUCUCUCGUGGACCGUUUUUGGUAAGCAGAUACGGUGCUUUGGAAUGCUCCAAGCAUUAUGGAAAGGGAUUUAAUUUUUCGUUUAUUUCGAACAAAAGGAGUUCAUACAUAUAGACAGUCCGAGGAUGGCCAUGGAAGUAGGAAUUCCCUAAGGAGUGUGUAAUAACUCACGGACCGAAUGGAUGAGCCCUUAAAAUGGAAAGUGUUGAAACGAUAGACCCGUGCCAUGAUAGCGAAUUAUCAAUUGGUUUGUAGGGAGGCGUAAUGACAGAUGUGAUCAUAAAUAUUUAAAUUUUAUGUAAUCAUUCAUUAUUGUAGAUCUUGGUAGCAGUAGCAACAUUUUAGUUAUAAACUGAAAGGCGUAUGUAGGAAAGGUUUUUAUAGUAACAUUAUAUGACUAUAAGUUAAACGACUAUAAUAUCAUAAACUAUGAUAAAAUUGUAGUAUGGUUGAUAUUCCAUAUUUUGGGUUUUAUGGUUGCGGUAACGCAAAUAUUACAAAGGAGUAGAGGGUAAAACAUCUGAAUGCGUUUACUAUGCAUUGUAACUCUUUGACUACAAUGGAGGAGAUUUAAUCUAAGAUAUUGUAGCAGAGAAGGAAUAAGAUUAAGAUGAUUGUUUUACCAUUGCUAAUAGUUUUUGUAGUUUAUUAUUUCAUUCAAUUCGUACCAAUAACCGCAUCAGGUCUCUAGGGUUAAUAACCUUUCGUAUGUGGUGUAAAAUAAGCUAGGGAAGUCGGCAAAAUAGAUCUGUAACCUUGGGAAAAGGGUUGGCUCUGCUAGCAUAAUUUUUUUAUAGUAAAUUUUUUUAUGUAGAAUUUUAUUCUAUGUAAAAUUAAUUAUCUCAUAUUAAUAUUUUUAUUGUUUAAGUAGAACUGAGUCAAUAAGGGGAAUCCGACAGUUUAACUAAAACCAAGCAUUCUGAAUGUGUUGAUAUCAAUACAGAAUGUGAAUUCUGCCCGGUGCUUUGAAUGUCAAUGUGAGGAGGCUCAUCUAAGCGCGGGUUAACGGCAGGCGUAACUAUGACGCUUUCAACGUAGCAAAAUGCCUCGUCAUCUAAUUAGUGACUCGCAUGAACGGAUUAAUGAGAUUCCUACUGUCCCUGUUUAUUUCCCAGCGAAUCCACAGCUUAGGGAACGGGCUAAGUUUUGACAGAACGGCAAGAAGACCCUGUUGAGGUUGACUCUAGCUAAUUUUUGUACAGUUGCACAGAUGGAGUAGUGUAUGUGGGAGCUUAACGCAAAAAUGAAACACCACAACAUUUGACGCGAUUGAACUUACUUACUGAAUUGAAUUUGUACUUAAUUGUAUUGUAUCAAGUGAGGAAAUUAAUUGGUUGGGAGUUUGGCUGGGGCGGUACAUCUGUUAAAAUGCACCACAGGUGUCCAAUGAUUAUCUCAAUUAGAUCAGAAAUCUAAUGUAGACUAAAAGGAGAAAAGAUUGUUUUAUUGAAGUCUUUAAAAAUGAUUCCAGUAGCGAAAGCUAGGCCUAUCGAUCCUUUCAUUAACCGAACGUUGGGCUGAGAGGUGUCUGAAAACUUACCACAGGGAUAACUGAUUUGUGGCAGCCAAGCGUUCAUAGCGACGUUGCUUUUUGAUCCUUCGAUGUCGGCUCUUCCUAUCAUGAAGUUGCAGAAGGCUUCAAGUGUUAGAUUGUUCACCUAUUAAAAGGGAUCGUGAGCUGGGUUCAGACCGUCGUGAGACAGGUUAGUUUUAUCCGUCUGUUAAGGUUAUCAUAUCAGUAGCGUGGCCUAGUACGAGAGGAACUGUCACGCUUGUCCAAUUUUUAAGUAAUCUAUAGUAAUAUAGUGUUACUAUAAUAUG
rnacentral:rRNA from 1 species